rnacentral:tRNA from 1 species
GGAAGGAUGGCAGAGCGGCUGAAUGCGGCGGUCUCGAAAACCGUUAUGCCGGUAUUCCCGGCAUCGAGGGUUCAAAUCCCUCUCCUUCCGCCA